rnacentral:lncRNA from 1 species
AGCCAACCUAAGACAGCACUGCCCUUCCCUGUGCCAGGAAGGCUCAACACAGACAGAUAGAUGCCUGCAGGAAAGGGCGGCUGCAGUGGGAAUGUGGACUGAAGCUUAGAUGAAAUAAGUGCACAAAGAACGCUCAGAAUUUGGCUCAUUAUAUUAUACAAAUAAUAUCCCAGAUACCUGCUGAAAUUGGAAGGCCGUACACAGCGACCAUGAAAAGGAUAAAGUGCAGACUGGUGAUUGACUGGUCAAUGUGUAUGCAACGUGGGCAGCUUGGACUCUGAUACUUUGUGCAGGAGACGAUAGUCCAAGGAUCACCAUUAUGACACAUUAUUUCUUAGUGACAGAUAAUGGAAUAAAAUCAUCUUUAUAAAUGUUUACCUAUUUUUUUAACUUACACAUUUUCUAUAAAAGUAUUAUUAUUAUUAUUAUUAACAAAGAAGUCUUAGCAUUGGAUCUCACUUGUUGCUUCUGUGAGGUGCUCGUUCGCGUGUUCCUGGGAGCGCCCUGCCCAGGACCUGCUGGCCGGGUGCAAGCUCUUCUCUUGGACCAGGAACAGACGGGGGGCCUGGUGCUGCCCUGUCUCCUCAGCAGGAGCUUCGGAGAGAACAGUGAAUGUGCACAGCACCUGCAGCCAGAGGGAGACACAGUUUAACUCCUAACAGGGCCAGUGCACGGGUGCUUGGUAUUUGGUCACUGGUCUCCAGCCCAGCCGUCGUGGGAGGAUCUUGUGAGGGGCUCUGCCGUGCAGAUGUCUCACCGGGUCCCUAGGGAGCUAGAAGUUGGCUUGUAAUUCUUUGCACUGGAACCUGACUCCAUUUUGUAUGUAAACAUCAAGAAUUUUUUGCAUGGCUUUAGCGUACACUGAAUGUUCCGAGAAUGUAACUAGAAUAAAGAUUGAACUUUGUUUUGUUUGAGGAUUUUCUGGGAAUUAUUUACCAUCUUGGGAAAUCACGCCGCUGAUGUCAAUGGCCCUGCAGUCCUCAGGUGCCGGUACCCUGUACUCACGCCGCUGAUGUCAAUGGCCCUGCAGUCCUCAGGUGCCGGUACCCUGUACUCUCA